rnacentral:rRNA from 1 species
GACGUAGGGCGCGAGCGUUGUCCGGAUUUAUUGGGCGUAAAGAGCUCGUAGGCGGCUCGUUGCGUCAACCGUGAAAACCCGGGGCUUAACUUCGGGCCUUGCGGUUGAUACGGGCGGGCUGGAGUUCGGUAGGGGAGACUGGAAUUCCUGGUGUAGCGGUGAAAUGCGCAGAUAUCAGGAGGAACACCGGUGGCGAAGGCGGGUCUCUGGGCCGAUACUGACGCUGAGGAGCGAAAGCGUGGGGAGCGAACAGG